CUUGUAUUUUGAUGUCUAGGUGUCUAACAAGGUCGGGGAAGUUUUCCUUGAUUAUUCCCCAAAAUAUGUUUUCCAAACUUUUAGAUUUCUCUUCUUCCUCAGGAACACUGAUUAUUUUUAGUUUGGUCAUUUAACAUAAUCCCAGACUUCCUGGAGGCUUUGUUCAUAUAUUCUUAUUAUUUUUCUUUGCCUUUGUUGGAUUGGGUUAAUUCAAAGACCUUGUCUUCAAGCUCUGAAUUUCUUUCUUCUGCUUUUUCGAUUCUAUUGCUGAGGCUUUCCAGAGCAUUUUGCAUUUCUAUAAGUGUGUCCAUUGUUUCCUGAAGAUUUGAUUGUUUUUUAUUUAUGCUACCUAUUUCCUUGAAUAUUUCUCCCUUCACUUCUUGUAUCAUUUUUUGGAUUUCCUUACAUUGGGCUUCACCAUUCUCUGGUACCUCCCUGAUUAGCUUAAUAACUAACCUCCUGAAUUCUUUUUAAGGUAAAUCAGGGAUUUCUUCUUGGUUUGGGUCCAUUGCUGUGAGCUAGUGUAAUUUUUGGGGGGUGUUAAAGAAUCUUGUUUUGUCAUAUUACCAGAGUUGGUUUUCUGGUUCCUUCUUACUUGGGUAGGCUCUGUCAGAGGGAAGGUCCAGGGCUGAAGGCUGUUGUUCAGAUUCCUUUGUCCCGUGGGAGUGUUCCCUUGAUGUAGUACUCUCCCCUUUUUCCUAUGGAUGUGCCUUCCUAAGAGCCAAGCUAUAGUGAUUGUUAUCUCUCUUCUGGAUCUAGCCACCCAGCAAGUCUACCCGGCUCCAGGCUGGUACUGAGGGUUAUCUGCACAGAGUCCUAUGAUGUGAACCAUCUGUGGGUCUCUCAGCCAUGGAUACCAGCACCUGUAACGGUGGAGGUGGCAGGGGGGUGAAAUGGACUCUGUGAGGGUUCUUAGCUUUGGUGGUUUAAUGCACUAUUUUUGUGCUGGUUGGCCCUCUGCCAGGAGGUGGCACUUUCCAGAGAGCAUCAGAGGUGGCAAUAUGGGGAGGAACAGGCAGUGGGUGGGGCCCUAGAACUCCCCAGAGUAUAUAUGCCCUUUGUCUUCAGCUACCAGGGUGGGUAGGGAAGGACCACUGGGUGGGGGCAGAACUAGGCAUGUCUGAGCUCACACUCUCCUUGGGCGAGUCUUGCUUUGGCUGCUGUGGGAGAUGGGAUGAGGUUCCCAGGUCAAUGGAGUUAUGUUCCUAGGAUGAUUAUGACUGUCUUUACUGUGUCAGGCAGGCUGUCAUGGAAGUGGGGGAAAGCUGGCAGUCACAGGCCUCACCCAGCUCCCAUGCAACUUGAAGGGCCAGUCUCACUCCCACUGUGCACCUCCUAACAGCACCAAGUCUGUUUCCAGGGAGUGGGCAAGCAGGGCUGAGAACUUGCCCCAGGCUACCGGCCUCCCAGCUGCAAAAGCAAAUAGGCUUUCCUUCUUCCCCUGCCUGUGGAGUCUGCACACCAGAUUCACGCCCUCCCCCCAGGUUCUGGCCAGAAGGCUUCUCCAUCAGUUCAAAUUGUUACAAAGUUCAGCUGGAGAUUUUCUUCUCCCUGUGGCCUUUUCCCAGCACUUCUGGCCACCAUCCCGAAGCACUCCUGUGAGGCCAGGCAAAAACCCUAGGGGACCCAUCAAGCUCCCAGGACUCUUCUCGCUGCUUCCUCUACCCUGUAUUUUGCUCGGCUCUCUAAAUUAACUCAGCUUCAGCUGCCUGCAGAAGAUGGGUAAGCUUCGCCCUUUUCCAAUCCUCUAAUCAAAGAGGAUGCAUGAAAGUCUUUGAAGAAAGUCUCUGCAGAAGGCUGAUUCACCCUCAAAUUUUUUUCUCUGCCUUCUCCUCCUAUGGCCUGCAAUUUCCACAAUUAGAAAUUAAUUCCUUUGAAUUUUUUCUGCUAAAAUACAUAUAAGCCUGGGAAAGGAAACAGCAGUUGUAUUCCAGAGUGAAUGUACUUAUUCUGAAAGAGUAUUUUGAUAAGGGGAGAAAGAAUUUAAGAGUUCCUGGGAAUGAGGGAAUUGGGAACGGUUAAAAGGAGCCUCAAAGAGAGGAGAAACAACUUUGGAAUGGAAAGAUUCCGUCGAGAGGGGGCCCAAGCCAAACUUUUCCUCUCUCAGAGCUUUGCACAAGCCAAGCAGGUCAAAACCAGGUCUCCAAUCAGCAAAAGGGGGUAAAAGGUUGGGGAAUAUUGGAGCAAGUUCAGGCAUUGGAUACAAAGGCUUCCUUUAGUCUAGGAAUUGUGCAAGCACCAAGGGUGCAGUGAAAGGUAAGACCCAGCUCCUGCCCUCAAUGUAGAGUUCACAACGUAGUUGGGAGAAUCAGUACUCAUCAUUCGGGUUGAGGGCCUUGGAUGUUCUGGCCACACACAGAGGAGGGGCACGGUCAGCAGGCACCUGAUGCAGCCUGGAGAAAGGGGAGGAUGGGACACAUAGACUGGCUAUAAAGAAAAAGACAAGUUAGAAGUAGCCUAACCAGUGACUAGGCACGGUGGCUUACACCUGUGAUUCCAGCACCUUGGGAGGCCAAAGCAGGAGGAUCACUUGAGGCCAGAACUUCAAGACCAGUGUGGGCAACAUGGUGAAACUCUGUCUCUACAAAAAAAUAACAAAAAAUAGCCUGGUAUGGUGGCACAUACCUGUGGUCCCAGCUACUUGGAAGGCCGAGUGGGAGGAUCACCUGAACCGGGGAGGUCAAGGCUGCAGUGAGCCAUGAUCAUGCUACUGCACUUCAGCCUAGGUGACAGAGAGAGACCCUGUCUUAAAAAAAAAAAAAAAAAUCAGCUGAGCAUGGUGGUAUGCACUUGGAGUCCCAGCUAUUCAGGGGCUAAGGCAGAAGGAUCACUUGAGCCCAGGAGUUUGAAGCUGCAGUGAGCCAUGAUCACACCACUGCAUUCCAGCCUGGGUGACAGAGCAAGACCCUGGCUCUAAAAAUAAAUAAAUAAAUUUUUUUAAAAAAAGAAGUAGCCCACCAGGAAAAGGAAAGGCAUACCAAGUGGAGGAGAGCACAUAAGCAAAGGCUUGGGGGAAAGCACCUUCUAUGUGGUAGGAAUGUAGGUCCUUAAGCGGAUGUGAAGGGAGAUGAGGCUGCAAAGGUGUUUGACCACCAGAGUACUGGAGGUCAUGUCAAGAAGUUUCAACUUCCUGGCUGGGCGCAGCGGCUCACGCCUGUAAUCCCAGCACUUUGGGAGGCCGAGGCGGGCGGAUCACCUGAGGCCAGGAGUUCGAGACCAGCCUGGCCAACAUGGUGAAACCUCCAUCUCUACUAAAAAUACAAAAAGUAGCUGGGCGUGGUGGCGGGUGCCUAUAAUCCCAGCUACUCGGGAGCCUGAGGCAGGAGAAUCUCUUGAACCCAGGAGGCAGAGGUUGUAGGGAGCCAAGAUCACGCCAUUGCACUCCAGCCUGGACAACAAGAGCGAAACUCCGUCUCAAAAAAAAAAAAAAGAAGUUUCAACUUCCUUAGGAAAGCAAUCACAAGCUUCUGAAGAAUUGUAAGCAGAGGACUACAUGGCAAUUCGUAUCUGCCUUGUUCACCAGAAGGCAGGCAGAUGAUGGAAUGCAGGGGAAUGAGGCUGGGGACAGGGGCGCCAGUUAGGAGGUUAUGGUAAUAGAUUCGAGAUGAAGGACUCACCUGAAGCAGGUGCAGAGAGUAUAGAGGAAGAUUGGGAAGAUCUGAGGACCAAUGUAGGGGCUGAGGGAAUGUAAGAGGGUGACAACCAUUGCCUGGAUUGCCAGCAGGGCCACGGGGAAUGGCUCUGUCCACUGAAAAAAGGAAGGCAGGGAUGUCAUGCAGGGCUUAGCUUUGAAAGUUUGGAUGAAAGCAAAAUUUCAUAUGGCCAACAUUGCACUUGAAAAUCCCUUAAAUUACCCAUAAUGUACAGCAGAGAUCAUCAUGGCUUUGGUUGAAUCAGAUGAAGUUCCAAGGCCUUGUUAUAUGUGAAAUGCAGAUUUUUUUUUUAUGUCAGGGUCUUGCUCUGUCACCCAGGAUGGAAUACAGUGGCAUAAUUAUAGCUCACUGCAGCCUUGAAUUCCUGGGCUCAAGCGAUCCUCCUGCCUCAGCCUCCUAAGCAGCUGGGGUUAUAGGUGCAUGCCACUGCUCUCAGCUGAAAUACAGAUCUUAAACCCCAAAAAUCGCACUCAGCAUGGAGAGAUGCUCAUUACAGGAAAAACACAAGGAACUCCACAGAAAUAGAAGAAUCAGGUCUUCCACUUCUUCACCCCAGGGUUUUCGGCCAUGGGUAGAAUGACCAGCAGGAACUCCAAGCACUAUUUGAGUCUAUGAUUCUCAACCUUGGCUGCACAUUGGAAUCACCUGGGGAGCUUUGAAAAAUACAGAUGCCUGGGUUCCACCCCCAGAGAUUCUGAUUCCAUCCUUCUAGAGAACAGUGUACGCAUCUGAAUUCUUAAAAGCUCCUUAGAGAUUCUAAGGUGCAGACAAGGUUGAGAACCACUGAUUUAAGUUGUUCUCUCUCCUCACCUUUGCCUCAUUUGAAUUUCUAUGAGUUAAAGGGCAAAGGGUGAGUUCAGUUUUGGACUUGGGUUCAAGCAAAGACAUCCUCUACCCUCUACUAAUGAUCCCUCUGGGUCUUAUAAAUGUUUAUCCAGGCAGCCCUGGGUUCAGCAACAGUUCCUGAUUGAUGGGUACAGUUGCUGGGAUGGGGAAGAGGCUCUUCCAGACAGUAGUUCCAGACAGCUUGACUCUGAAACACAAACAAACAGAAAAUAGUCACUCUGCCUCCCAACCUGUUCAGCACUGGGGAGGUGGCAGGGUGGGGAUCAGGGGAAGAUUUCAAACAAGGGCAACAUUUACUAGGCUUUUCCAACCACGCUAGAAUAGUUAUUACUGCAAAUAGCCGAUUUGACUGCUACGAGUCUAUAAUUUCAAUCUCUGAAGUAACAUGUUCUCAGAGCUUCUGGUAUCUCAGUUUGUUGAUGCAAUGAGGAAAAUCCAAGGACAGUACUUCAGGCGCGUCCUCAUGCCCCAGGUGCUAGUGCCCUAGUGAGAACCAGGCUCUGCAAAAUCAGGCUCCAAGACUGUCACAAGGAGCCUCCUUCAGAGUCUAGGUUAGGGCUAAGUUCUUAUUUUUCUUCCCAUGCUUGCAAUCUGUACGCCCUCUCCUUAAAAUGGUCAUUGUGUUACAGGAAAGGGGUCCUGAUCCAGACCCCAAGAGAGAGUUCUUGGAUCUUGCACAAGAAAGAAUUCAGGGCAAGUCCAUAGAGUAAAGUGAAAGCAGGUUUAUUAAGAAAGUAGAAGAAUAGG
rnacentral:lncRNA from 1 species